rnacentral:rRNA from 1 species
UACAGAGGUGGCAAGCGUUGUUCGGAAUUACUGGGCGUAAAGGGCGCGUAGGCGGUUCGUUGCGUCAGAUGUGAAAGCCCCGGGCUCAACCUGGGAACUGCAUUUGAUACGGGCGAGCUUGAAUCCAAGAGAGGGUGGUGGAAUUCCCAGUGUAGAGGUGAAAUUCGUAGAUAUUGGGAAGAACACCAGUGGCGAAGGCGGCCACCUGGCUUGGUAUUGACGCUGAGGCGCGAAAGCGUGGGGAGCAAACAGG